AAGGAACCCUUUAAGGUAUGCAGGUAUGCGAUGGGCCCGCGUCUGAUUAGCUAGUUGGUGAGGUAACGGCUCACCAAGGCGACGAUCAGUAGCCGGCUUGAGAGAGUGACCGGCCACAUUGGGACUGAGACACGGCCCAAACUCCUACGGGAGGCAGCAGUGGGGAAUAUUGCACAAUGGGGGAAACCCUGAUGCAGCGACGCCGCGUGAGUGAAGAAGUACUUCGGUACGUAAAGCUCUAUCAGCAGGGAAGAAGAUGACGGUACCUGACUAAGAAGCCCCGGCUAACUACGUGCCAGCAGCCGCGGUAAUUC
rnacentral:rRNA from 1 species